GACGAACGCUGGCGGCAGGCUAAACAAAUGAAAGUGAACCGGAAGGCCCCGGCUUUGCCGGGUGCUCGGGGGGGGAAAGGGGGGGGAAACCGGGGAGUACCCGCCCUUGGACUUGGGGAAACCUUCGGAAAACGGGGGAUAUACCGGACAGGGGCUCCUGGCGCAUGGGGGGGGUUGGGAAGUUUCGGCGGUUGGGGAUGGACUCGCGGCUUAUCAGCUUGGUGGGGGGGUAGUGGCUUACCAAGGCUUUGACGGGUAGCCGGCCUGGGAGGGUGACCGGCCACAUUGGGACUGCGAUACGGCCCAGACUCCUACGGGAGGCAGAAGUGGGGAAUAUUGCACAGUGGGCGGAAGCCUGAUGCAGCAACGCCGCGUGCGGGAUGACGGCCUUCGGGUUGUAAACCGCUUUCGCCUGUGACGAAGCGUGAGUGACGGUAAUGGGUAAAGAAGCACCGGCUAACUACGUG
rnacentral:rRNA from 1 species